GGGAGGCAGCAGUGGGGAAUUUUGGACAAUGGGGGAAACCCUGAUCCAGCCAUCCCGCGUGUGCGAUGAAGGCCUUCGGGUUGUAAAGCACUUUUGGCAGGAAAGAAACGUCAUGGGUUAAUACCCCGUGAAACUGACGGUACCUGCAGAAUAAGCACCGGCUAACUACGUGCCAGCAGCCGCGGUAAUACGUAGGGUGCAAGCGUUAAUCGGAAUUACUGGGCGUAAAGCGUGCGCAGGCGGUUCGGAAAGAAAGAUGUGAAAUCCCAGAGCUUAACUUUGGAACUGCAUUUUUAACUGCCGGGCUAGAGUGUGUCAGAGGGAGGUGGAAUUCCGCGUGUAGCAGUGAAAUGCGUAGAUAUGCGGAGGAACACCGAUGGCGAAGGCAGCCUCCUGGGAUAACACUGACGCUCAUGCACGAAAGCGUGGGGAGCAAACAGGAUUAGAUACCCUGGUAGUCCACGCCCUAAACGAUGUCAACUAGCUGUUGGGGCCUUCGGGCCUUGGUAGCGCAGCUAACGCGUGAAGUUGACCGCCUGGGGAGUACGGUCGCAAGAUUAAAACUCAAAUGAAUUGACGG
rnacentral:rRNA from 1 species